rnacentral:rRNA from 1 species
CACGUAGGAGGCGAGCGUUAUUCGGAUUUACUGGGCGUAAAGGGCGAGUAGGUGGCACAUCAAGUUGGAUGUGAAAGCUCCCGGCUUAACUGGGAGAGGACGUUCAAAACUGAUGAGCUUGAGUAUGAGAGAGGAAAAUGGAAUUCCGGGUGUAGUGGUGAAAUGCGUAGAUAUCCGGAGGAACACCAGUGGCGAAGGCGAUUUUCUGGCUCAAGACUGACACUCAGACGCGAAAGCUAGGGUAGCAAACGGGAUUAGAGACCCCGGUAGUCCUAGCCGUAAACGAUGUAGACUAGGCGUUGGUUGAGUAAAAUCGAUCAGUGUCGGAGCAAACGCGAUAAGUCUACCGCCUGGGGACUACGGCCGCAAGGCUAAAACUCAAAGGAAUUGACGGGGCCCCGCACAAGCAGCGGAGCGUGUGGUUUAAUUCGAUGCUACGCGAAGAACCUUACCAGGGUUUGACAUACAGGUAGUAGGGAAAGGAAACUGGACCGACCCUUCGGGGAGCCUGAACAGGUGCUGCAUGGCU